rnacentral:misc_RNA from 1 species
UUUUAUUAUUAAUAUAUAUGGAUUUGUUACAUCACAUGCUGGUCUCGAAAUGGAACAGAAGUACACUGGAAGAAAGAACAAACACCAAUUUUCUUUGGCUCUUUAAAUACAGACCCCUGAACUUACAAGAAUGAAUAAACUCAACCAGAGAUUUCAAUAGACUUGACGUCAGGUUUCUUGACUUCCCUCUUAGGAACUGUCACAGUCAGAACCCCAUUCUCCAUUGAAGCCUUCACCUGAUCCAUCUUUACAUUUUCCGGUAGCCUCAACCUCCUCAAGAACUUACCCCUGCUACGCUCCACCCGGUGCCACGUAUCAUUCUUAUCUUCCUUCUCCACAUUCCUCUCUCCGCUGAUUUGAAGCACUCUGUCAUCUUCAAUCUCCACCUUUACUUCCUCCUUUUUAAGUCCAGGAAGAUCAGCCUUGAAGAAAUGAGCUUCUGGAGUCUCUUUCCAAUCUAUGCGAGUGUUAACAAAAGCGGAAUUUUCCCCAGAGGUGAUCAAAGAGGAAGAAGGAAAUUGGAAAUCUUUGAAUGGAUCCCCCAAGUCGAAAGAAGAGAAAGGAUCAAAGAUACUGCUUCGUAGGUCACCAAAGAAACUAGGAAUCAUUGCCAUUUUCUUUAUGUAGAGAGGGUUUCGGAAUUGAAUUUAAUGAGUUUAGUAGAUUGCUAGAAACUGUGAACUGCAGAUUGUUU